rnacentral:rRNA from 1 species
UGGGGAAUAUUGGGCAAUGGGCGCAAGCCUGACCCAGCAACGCCGCGUGAAGGAAGAAGGCUUUCGGGUUGUAAACUUCUUUUCUCAGGGACGAAGCAAGUGACGGUACCUGAGGAAUAAGCCACGGCUAACUACGUGCCAGCAGCCGCGGUAAUACGUAGGUGGCAAGCGUUAUCCGGAUUUACUGGGUGUAAAGGGCGUGUAGGCGGGACUGCAAGUCAGAUGUGAAAACCAUGGGCUCAACCUGUGGCCUGCAUUUGAAACUGUAGUUCUUGAGUACUGGAGAGGCAGACGGAAUUCCUAGUGUAGCGGUGAAAUGCGUAGAUAUUAGGAGGAACACCAGUGGCGAAGGCGGUCUGCUGGACAGCAACUGACGCUGAGGCGCGAAAGCGUGGGGAGCAAACAGG